AAGUCGUAACAAGGUUUCCGUAGGUGAACCUGCGGAAGGAUCAUUAACGAAAGUCGCAACGUCGGGGGCUCGCGUCUUCGGACGCGAGCCGUCGCGGACUUCUCUAUCAACCCCUUUUGUGCACCCUGCGCGAGCCGGUACGAGACUACGUGUCUCGGAAGGCUUGCGUCCAUCAAAUACCCCGAUGUAAGUCGCCGAAUGUACACCGCGUUAAUCGCAUAAAUACAACUUUCAGCAACGGAUCUCUUGGCUCUC
rnacentral:misc_RNA from 1 species